rnacentral:lncRNA from 1 species
GGUCUUCAAGAAGAUUGAUCUCCGCUGACUCGGUGUCAUCCCUAAGGCCGUGUCCACACGCUGUAACACUGCUACAGACAACUGAAGAAAACGGAGACGAAGAAGUAUACAAACUGCAGAAGAAGACAACAACAACAACAAAAAGAAGAUGGUGAACGCAAAGGAAAGCUCCAAGACCAAAGCCAAUCAAUUGGUGUGGACAAACAGCGAGGUGAAACUCCUGUUGCGAGUCACUCUAGACUACAAAUCAAAUAAGCUACAGGAGGGUGUCGACUGGGAGUCCUGCAAGUGGAAGUACGAGGACAUAAAGGGCCUGUUUGAGGCGCAAUACCCGAAUAAAUCGACAGAGAAGGAUUUCCCUCACGACGUGAAAACAAUAUCAAGAAUACAGGUCCAAACCAAGUUGAAAAAUAUACGAAAGAACUACAGGAAGGCGGUGGUCGCUGGGCGUCGAAGUGGCAGUCGGGUGGUGCUCAAGUAUUUUGAGCUAUGUGAGCAGCUUUGGGGUGGCUCGCCUGCUACGCAAUGUAUCGACGCCGCCAUCGAGACGAGUGACCAGGAGGGCAUUGAGGACCUCGAAUACUCCUCUUCAGAGUCAGCGGAGACUGCUGAUUCUGAACCAACUGAAGCCAUACAAAAUCUCUCUCCUGCGGUUGUAAAGAAGCGCAGGGAUUUGCUCCAGGUAGGCUCAUGAUUUCUAGCUGUGCGAGCUACCUAUAUGCUUUGACGCUUACCGUUUGAUAUGCACACAGUUUAGAAUCCGAUGCUUGUUUUGUGUAGGUGCUUUAGUACACAAUUUAUAACAUAGCUUUGGCCUUAGACGUUUGCAUAAUAAUGUGAUAUUUGUUCUGCUUUAUCCGAGGCAAAGCUGAACAACCACAGAGGGGACAGGCUAAAGAGGAAGGUACCGGCUACCCCCCUCGAGCAGGAGGAUCUUCAAAUAAAGAGGCGGAUGGAGGAGAAAAAUCCGGGGACAUUUUCAGUUCAAACACGGUCUUCAAGAAGAUUGAUCUCCGCUGACACAGUGUCAUCCCUAAGGCCCUGUCCACAUGCUGUAACACUGCUACAGACAACUGAAGAAAACGGAGAAGGUGACAUGGAGCAUGCGAAUAAAGCAUGCAAGCUGUAUACAAACUCCGCAGAAGAAGACGACAACAACAAGAAGAUGGCGAACGCAAAGGAAAGCUCCAAGACCAAAAUCGAUUUGUUGGUGUGGACAGACAACGAAGUGAAACUCCUGUUGCAAGUCACUCUGGACUACAAAUCAAAUAAGAUACAGGAGGGUGUCGACUGGGAGUCCUGCAAGUCGAAGUACGAGGACAUAAAGGGCCUGUUUGAGGCGCAAUACCCGAAUAACUCGACGGGGGGGGAUUUCCCUCACGACGCGAAAACAAUGUCAAGAAUACAGGUCACAACCAAGUUGAAAAACAUUAAAAGGAACUACAGGAAGGCAGUGGACACUGGGUGUCGAAGUGGCAAUGGGCGGGUGGUGCUCAUGAAUUUUGAGCUCUGUGAGCAGCUUUGGGGUGGCUCGCCUGCUACGCAGUGUAUAGACGCCGCCAUCGAGACGGGUGACCUGGAGGACCUCGAAGUCUCCUCUCCAGAGACAGCGGAGACUGCCGAUUCUGAACCAACUGAAGCCAUACAAAAUCUCUCUCCUGCGGUUGUAAAGAAGCGCAGGGAUUUGCUCCAGGCAAAGCUGAACAACCACAGAGGGGACAGGCUAAAGAGGAAGGUUCCGGCUACCCCCCUCGAGCAGGAGGAUCUUCAAAUAAAGAGGCGGAUGUUGGCGUUAAUGGAGGAGAAUUCCAGACGCAACUCGGACAACAUUGCCCAAAUCAACACAAACAUUGGGCAAAUUACCAGCACUAUACAGGACGGCAUCUCCCUGAUGAGGGAGUUAUUACUCCAGCCCAAUGCAAGUAACUUUGCACACCCCCACAGCAGCAGCGUUGGGAAUGGGCAAUUCCAAGGGCACCCACCAGCUUUCAUGCAUACCACACCGCACCCCAGUACACCGGCCUUCCGGCACACACCUAGGCCUCAACAAGCAAAUACACACAAUCACAUGCCACCCCAAUAUCCACCAACACAUGCCGCCCCACAGCAGUCAUUUUCGUACGGAUGACCAUGCACUGUGCCUCGCUCUGUUGCACUGCACUGUUGCACUGGACUUUACACUUGUUAUUUUUUAUUUUUUUGUAUUGUAUAUAGUAAAAUCCUUUGUGUUUUAAAGUUUUAAUAUUUAGAUAGUUGAUUUUUUUUAAUUACCACUUAUCUGUCCUAAGGACAGUUAUUCUGAUAUUGCAUUUGCAUAUCCAAUAAAUAAAAAAAUACUAGAAGCUCA